rnacentral:rRNA from 1 species
AUCACAGCCAUAUCACCCCGCAGCCCAAGACUGGUUGCCCACUGAAGCUAAGCAGGGUUGAGCCUGGUCAGUACCUGGAUGGGAGACCUCCUGGGAAAACUAGGUUGCUGCUGGAA